rnacentral:rRNA from 1 species
UAGUCCACGCCGUAAACGAUGUUCACUCGCUGUUUGGGAUACACACUAAGCGGCCAAGCGAAAGCAUUAAGUGAACCACCUGGGGAGUACGUUGGCAACAAUGAAACUCAAAGGAAUUGACGGGGACCCGCACAAGCGGUGGAACAUGUGGUUUAAUUCGAUGAUACGCGAGGAACCUUACCUGGACUUAAAUGUAGAUUGCAUAGAGUGGAGACAUUCUUUUCUUCGGACUAUUUACAAGGUGCUGCAUGGUUGUCGUCAGCUCGUGCCGUGAGGUGUCGGGUUAAGUCCCAUAACGAGCGCAACCCCUAUCGUAGUUGCCAACAGGUGAAGCUGGGGACUCUACGGAAACUGCCUACGCAAGUAGAGAGGAAGGCGGGGACGACGUCAAAUCAUCAUGGCCUUUAUGCCCAGGGCGACACACGUGCUACAAUGGUGGGGACAAAGGGUAGCGACAUAGCGAUAUGAAGCCAAUCCCAAAAACCUCAUCUCAGUUCGGAUUGGAGU